UUUUAUGCAUUAUGAUGUAUUCAAAAUAUUUAACCUUAUCAUCAUGCUUUAUGUCUGUGUAUAUAAUCUCAAACUAUGAUGUAUGUUUGUUUUUUGUCAUUAUUAUUGUUUAUUGUUACCUAGUUCGGUUUUCUUCAGUGUUAUCAAUGUCUGAAGCCAAAGAAGAUAUCAGCAGCUGCUCGAAGAUCUCGCCUUUGGAGAAGACUGAUUUUAUACUCAAAAAAAUCUGUGCCCAUUCUGCAGCUUUAUUCUGAUGAACACCUUCAUCCAUCAUGUCCCUCACUGCUGCUCUUCUCAAUGGGGACAUCGUUGAUCCAAAGGAUGAGGAAGAUGAUGAUGAUGGACCCCUGAACCCCACAACCUUGAAGCAAGAGUGGGAGAAGAUGUGCAGGACAAUCUGGCUGCUGCUGUGUCUGCUGCAAACAUUCAUGUGCUCUCCAUCAGCAUGACUAAAUAAACAGAUUAAAACAUU